UGGGGAAUAUUGGACAAUGGGCGCAAGCCUGAUCCAGCCAUGCCGCGUGAGUGAUGAAGGCCCUAGGGUUGCAAAGCUCUUUCACCGGUGAAGAUAAUGACGGUAACCGGAGAAGAAGCCCCGGCUAACUUCGUGCCAGCAGCCGCGGUAAUACGAAGGGGGCUAGCGUUGUUCGGAUUUACUGGGCGUAAAGCGCACGUAGGCGGACUUUUAAGUCAGGGGUGAAAUCCCGGGGCUCAACCCCGGAACUGCCUUUGAUACUGGAAGUCUUGAGUAUGGUAGAGGUGAGUGGAAUUCCGAGUGUAGAGGUGAAAUUCGUAGAUAUUCGGAGGAACACCAGUGGCGAAGGCGGCUCACUGGACCAUUACUGACGCUGAGGUGCGAAAGCGUGGGGAGCAAACAGG
rnacentral:rRNA from 1 species